AUUAGGGUUUCUCAUUCUCAUAGCAUUUUAUCCGCCCCAUCGAGCUGCUUUAUCUCCAGGCGAUUCAAAAGGAGAUCUAGGGUUUCUCUUGGCGAUGCAAGAUCUGGCUUUCUCAAUGACACCAGAUAAGCGAAUCUCUCUCUAUACGACAUCCAAUCGACUAAGUUUGAAGGUGGUGAAGGGUUUGGAUCUGCCAAUCAGUGACGUAUGAGCAAGGGGGUGUUUGGUCUGCCAAUCGGUGAUGUAUGAGCAAGAUUUCACAAGAUCUAAAGACGACCUGGUGUCCGACGACUAGGGUUCCGGUGAUAGAAUUCUCAAGCUGAGCGGUGGCAAUAGAGACGAGUUCCCGGUUGUAGAUGGUGGUUGAGGUAGGUUCCGACAAACUAAGGCCCGUUCAUAUUGCCACUAACAAAGUAUUUGCCAAUAAAGUAUGUUGAACAUAUAUACAUGAGCAGUUCAGAGGUGAUCUUUUGGACUAUCUCAAUGACUUCAGACUCAGUUUUAUUCUACAGUUAUGCAGAUACAUGGUUCAAGGUUUGGGAGAGUAGGAAGAUGGAGCCGAAUGGGCUUAUGGUUACUCUCCAAGAGUCCAAUCGCUGGUCAAAUCUGUCAUGCAAGGUUUGGAUCUUAUUAGAAACCCUGGAAACGAGGCCACUGCUUCACUUUCGAAAAGGUUUAAGCUACAGUUCAGAAACAAGAUUGCCCUGUCGGUCUACACUGGGAGAGUCUUUUAGGCGAGCAUGAAUCGUCCAUUGAAAUACCCUUGGUUGAUGCUCGGAGUGACCAGAUAGUGAAUAUCAGGCCUGAAUCUGUUGCAAAACUGAAAAUACUAGGAUUUUGAGUUGGUGACGGUAACGAUGACGGUAGUUGGGCAUACGAACACUUUCAAGAAACCAUUAUGAGCGAACGGGAAGGGAAACGAUGAAUGCUUCAAGGAAAUCCUUGUUUGCAGCUAAACAAAGGCGUUUGUUAUGUUCGUAACAAGAUUUCUUUUACUCAUAGUGCGGAACAUACUAGAAACAGUCUGUACAGACUGGUGGCAGUAGUUGUGGAUGCUGAUUUGAUGAAUGGAGUGGAAGUACCAACGACGGAAGCAUUUGUCAUGAAGGACCGGCGUUAUAUCUAUCACAAAAACAUGUGUGCCCAUCUUUAUCAGAUAAGGUGUGCUAUUUAAAGCAGAUCGGCUAUAAGGGUCCUCGCUAUACACGUCCAAAAGACAGAUGUGUGCACUUUGAAGGAUUUGUUGAGACUACUCUACACGAAUCCAAAACGGCAUGAAGAGACUCUUGAGCUAAAAGCCUCUUGCAAGUUUUGGGAUGAAAUUGUAGACUCUUAACGGACAGAAGUUUGAUGAAAAAGAAUGUUUUGACGGGAAAGCGCAAAAAAUAAUGGACGGGAACUGGAGUUGAAAUAGAAGUUUGAGUAGAGUAUGAAGGAGGCGGUGGACAAGUCACACGAGUUAAACUUGUAUGUAAAAAAUUUAGAUGAUACGGUGACCGAUGAAAGUCUCAGGGAGUACUUUGCGCCUUUCGGUACUAUAACUUCCUGCAAGGUCAUGAGAGAUCCUAACGGAACUAGAAAAAGGUUCAGGUUUUGUUGCGUUUUCUACUUCUGAUGAAACUUCUAGACCUCUUAUGGAGAUGAAUGGCAAGAUGAUCGCUGGCAAGCCUCUUUAUGUAGCACUUGCGCAACGAAAAGCAAAGAAAAUAGAAGGGCACGAUUGCAGGCACAAUUUUCACAGAUGCAUUCAAUUGCAAUGGUGGAAAGAAUUUGGUGUUAUGUGGUUCAGCUCUUUCUGCAGAACAAAAGUUUAUGAUGGUUGACUUUGCGAAAACUAACGGAGCAUUAGUGUCAAAGUACUGGAAAGAUAACGUCACACAUGAGAUCGCUGUCACAGAUGCAAAUGGCGCAUUCACAAGAACAUUGAAAGUUCUCAUGGCUAUUUUGAACGGAAAAUGGGUGGUUACAAUGGAAUGGUUAAUGGCGUGUGUAGAUGCUGGACGUGUUGUGAACGAAGAACCAUACGAAGUAUGUUUAGAUACACAUGGUUGUUCCAGUGGGCCCACAGCAGGGAGGUUAAGAGCUCAAAGAUUGGCUGCGGUGGAAGGUGUAGCGCAAGAAUGCGGGUCGCGGGUUGUUGGGCAUACAUGGAUUUUGGGAUCAAUUGCUGUAUGUAGCUUGCUGCUUCUUAUAUCAAGGGUGCAACAAUGUUCUAUUAGAUUUUUAAGGUGCUUAAAACUUAUCUUUUAUGCAUGUUUUGGGGUUUUUUUGUCUCUUGGUUUAGAACUAUAACAGUUCAGAUGAAUUUUUUUGUUGAUUUUACUUAUGGAUAAAUAAUAGAUGCUGAAAGUUAUGCUUCACAAG